GAUGAAGAACGUAGCGAAAUGCGAUACGUAAUGUGAAUUGCAAAUUCAGUGAAUCAUCGAGUCUUUGAACGCACAUUGCGCCCCCUGGUAUUCCGGGGGGCAUGUCUGUCCGAGCGUCAUUGCUGCCCUCAAGCACGGCUUGUGUGUUGGGCCCCGUCCUCCGAUCCCGGGGGACGGGCCCGAAAGGCAGCGGCGGCACCGCCUCCGGUCCUCGAGCGUAUGGGGCUUUGUCACCCGCUCUGUAGGCCCGGCCGGCGCUUGCCGAUCAACCCAAAUUUUUAUCCAGGUUGACCUCGGAUCAGGUAGGGAUACCCGCUGAACUUAAGCAUAUCAAUAAGCGGAGGA
rnacentral:misc_RNA from 1 species